UGAGUUUGAUCAUGGCUCAGGACGAACGCUGGCGGCGUGCUUAAUACAUGCAAGUCGAGCGAGGUUACUGUUUUGGAACCCUUCGGGGUGAAGAAGCUUUAACCUAGCGGCGGACGGGUGAGUAACGCGUGGGUAACCUACCCCAAAGUCCGGGAUAACAGCGGGAAACCGCUGCUAAUACCGGAUGUCUUUACCUUGGGGCAUCUUGAGGUAAAGAAAGGCAACGCUUUGGGAUGGGCCCGCGUCCCAUUAGCUAGUUGGUGAGGUAACGGCUCACCAAGGCGACGAUGGGUAGCCGGCCUGAGAGGGUGGACGGCCACACUGGGACUGAGACACGGCCCAGACUCCUACGGGAGGCAGCAGUAGGGAAUAUUGCGCAAUGGACGGAAGUCUGACGCAGCGACGCUGCGUGAGCGAUGAAGGUCUUCGGAUCGUAAAGCUCUGUCCUUGGGGAAGAAGGCGAAAGCUUGACGGUACCCAAGAAGAAAGCCCCGGCUAACUACGUGCCAGCAGCCGCGGUAAU
rnacentral:rRNA from 1 species